rnacentral:rRNA from 1 species
UUAAGCGACUAAGCGUACACGGUGGAUGCCCUGGCAGUCAGAGGCGAUGAAGGACGUGCUAAUCUGCGAUAAGCGUCGGUGAGGUGAUAUGAACCGUUAUAACCGGCGAUUUCCGAAUGGGGAAACCCAGUGUGAUUCGUCACUAUCAUUAACUGAAUCCAUAGGUUAAUGAGGCGAACCGGGGGAACUGAAACAUCUAAGUACCCCGAGGAAAAGAAAUCAACCGAGAUUCCCCCAGUAGCGGCGAGCGAACGGGGAGGAGCCCAGAGCCUGAAUCAGUGUGUGUGUUAGUGGAAGCGUCUGGAAAGGCGUGCGAUACAGGGUGACAGCCCCGUACACAAAAAUGCACAUAUUGUGAGCUCGAUGAGUAGGGCGGGACACGUGGUAUCCUGUCUGAAUAUGGGGGGACCAUCCUCCAAGGCUAAAUACUCCUGACUGACCGAUAGUGAACCAGUACCGUGAGGGAAAGGCGAAAAGAACCCCGGCGAGGGGAGUGAAAAAGAACCUGAAACCGUGUACGUACAAGCAGUGGGAGCCUCUUAAUGGGGUGACUGCGUACCUUUUGUAUAAUGGGUCAGCGACUUAUAUUCUGUAGCAAGGUUAACCGAAUAGGGGAGCCGAAGGGAAACCGAGUCUUAACUGGGCGUUAAGUUGCAGGGUAUAGACCCGAAACCCGGUGAUCUAGCCAUGGGCAGGUUGAAGGUUGGGUAACACUAACUGGAGGACCGAACCGACUAAUGUUGAAAAAUUAGCGGAUGACUUGUGGCUGGGGGUGAAAGGCCAAUCAAACCGGGAGAUAGCUGGUUCUCCCCGAAAGCUAUUUAGGUAGCGCCUCGUGAAUUCAUCUCCGGGGGUAGAGCACUGUUUCGGCAAGGGGGUCAUCCCGACUUACCAACCCGAUGCAAACUGCGAAUACCGGAGAAUGUUAUCACGGGAGACACACGGCGGGUGCUAACGUCCGUCGUGAAGAGGGAAACAACCCAGACCGCCAGCUAAGGUCCCAAAGUCAUGGUUAAGUGGGAAACGAUGUGGGAAGGCCCAGACAGCCAGGAUGUUGGCUUAGAAGCAGCCAUCAUUUAAAGAAAGCGUAAUAGCUCACUGGUCGAGUCGGCCUGCGCGGAAGAUGUAACGGGGCUAAACCAUGCACCGAAGCUGCGGCAGCGACACUAUGUGUUGUUGGGUAGGGGAGCGUUCUGUAAGCCUGUGAAGGUGGCCUGUGAGGGUUGCUGGAGGUAUCAGAAGUGCGAAUGCUGACAUAAGUAACGAUAAAGCGGGUGAAAAGCCCGCUCGCCGGAAGACCAAGGGUUCCUGUCCAACGUUAAUCGGGGCAGGGUGAGUCGACCCCUAAGGCGAGGCCGAAAGGCGUAGUCGAUGGGAAACAGGUUAAUAUUCCUGUACUUGGUGUUACUGCGAAGGGGGGACGGAGAAGGCUAUGUUGGCCGGGCGACGGACGUCCCGGUUUAAGCGUGUAGGCUGGUUUUCCAGGCAAAUCCGGAAAACCAAGGCUGAGGCGUGAUGACGAGGCACUACGGUGCUGAAGUGACAAAUGCCCUGCUUCCAGGAAAAGCCUCUAAGCAUCAGGUAACAUCAAAUCGUACCCCAAACCGACACAGGUGGUCAGGUAGAGAAUACCAAGGCGCUUGAGAGAACUCGGGUGAAGGAACUAGGCAAAAUGGUGCCGUAACUUCGGGAGAAGGCACGCUGAUAUGUAGGUGAAGCGACUUGCUCGUGGAGCUGAAAUCAGUCGAAGAUACCAGCUGGCUGCAACUGUUUAUUAAAAACACAGCACUGUGCAAACACGAAAGUGGACGUAUACGGUGUGACGCCUGCCCGGUGCCGGAAGGUUAAUUGAUGGGGUUAGCGGCAACGCGAAGCUCUUGAUCGAAGCCCCAGUAAACGGCGGCCGUAACUAUAACGGUCCUAAGGUAGCGAAAUUCCUUGUCGGGUAAGUUCCGACCUGCACGAAUGGCGUAAUGAUGGCCAGGCUGUCUCCACCCGAGACUCAGUGAAAUUGAACUCGCUGUGAAGAUGCAGUGUACCCGCGGCAAGACGGAAAGACCCCGUGAACCUUUACUAUAGCUUGACACUGAACAUUGAGCCUUGAUGUGUAGGAUAGGUGGGAGGCUUUGAAGUGUGGACGCCAGUCUGCAUGGAGCCGACCUUGAAAUACCACCCUUUAAUGUUUGAUGUUCUAACGUUGGCCCGUAAUCCGGGUUGCGGACAGUGUCUGGUGGGUAGUUUGACUGGGGCGGUCUCCUCCUAAAGAGUAACGGAGGAGCACGAAGGUUGGCUAAUCCUGGUCGGACAUCAGGAGGUUAGUGCAAUGGCAUAAGCCAGCUUGACUGCGAGCGUGACGGCGCGAGCAGGUGCGAAAGCAGGUCAUAGUGAUCCGGUGGUUCUGAAUGGAAGGGCCAUCGCUCAACGGAUAAAAGGUACUCCGGGGAUAACAGGCUGAUACCGCCCAAGAGUUCAUAUCGACGGCGGUGUUUGGCACCUCGAUGUCGGCUCAUCACAUCCUGGGGCUGAAGUAGGUCCCAAGGGUAUGGCUGUUCGCCAUUUAAAGUGGUACGCGAGCUGGGUUUAGAACGUCGUGAGACAGUUCGGUCCCUAUCUGCCGUGGGCGCUGGAGAACUGAGGGGGGCUGCUCCUAGUACGAGAGGACCGGAGUGGACGCAUCACUGGUGUUCGGGUUGUCAUGCCAAUGGCACUGCCCGGUAGCUAAAUGCGGAAGAGAUAAGUGCUGAAAGCAUCUAAGCACGAAACUUGCCCCGAGAUGAGUUCUCCCUGACCCUUUAAGGGUCCUGAAGGAACGUUGAAGACGACGACGUUGAUAGGCCGGGUGUGUAAGCGCAGCGAUGCGUUGAGCUAACCGGUACUAAUGAACCGUGAGGCUUAACCUU